CUGAAAAACAAUGGGGAUAACAGACCAUGAAGGUGAGUCAAUAUAUCUUGCAUACUGCUCUGAACCUUCUUCCUCAAGCUCGCUGUUGGAUAACUAGUCCUCCGCAUUGGCAAAGAAACUGACUUUUCUCCUACUCGAACUUCUCAGCACCUUUAGAUUUGCAAGCUUGAAAUGAUGUGACCUAACAACCUGUGAUGGAAGAAGAGCAAAGCAAGGGAAAAAAGAAAAAAAAAGGGGACAAAGUUACAGCAAGUCAUCCUACAGAAGUCUAGUGUUCAUUUUGAGGAACUUGCUAUUAUUAGCACAACAAGAAUGACUUAAAGUUUCAAAUAAUAAUUUACUUCACCAAGAGUCACGAAACGAACCAAAUACUAACAUUUGCCACAUUCUCCAUCUUACAAAAAGAAUAAGAGAUUCAAGGGAGGAAAUACAACUUUAACUUUUUUUCCGUCUGGAUAAAGGAAAUGCAACUUAAAACAUAUAUCAGAUAAUAAAGAGAGAAAUUGUUCAAUUGCAUCAUAAAGAAGAAUUUUAAUUUUGAGAUAACUUUCUAAUUUUACUAACUACCUUUAGCAUUUAUUAGACGUUCGGGAACAAAUCUCUGCAUGCAGAAUACUCUUGGUCUUGUACUCACCUGGAUGGUAAGGCAUGGAAUCAAACAAGCACUCUACAAGAGAUUACACAGAUCACCACAUAAUGGUGCUAGAGUAAAAGAUCAAAAAAAUGCAUUUUAACUUAAGUAUGCCAAUCGUAAAGAGUCCUUCAAGAACCCAAAAGGACAAAAAGAACCAUCUGAUCAUUUGACUGAGGAUAAUUCAGCUCAGUGCUUCCAGUGUCCACAUAAAGACUAAAGAGACGUGCUAAUAAUAUUAUAUGUCUUAUAGGUAACCUAGGUCGAACAACAUCAUAUUAUUAGAUUAUAUUAGAUUGAUUAUAUUAGAUUAUUAUCUUAUUUUUCUAGUUUUCAUGUAACUUAGAUUUGUUAUGUAGAGUUGGAAGAACUUUCUUAUAUUAUCUAGUCACUUAAAAGGAUAUUUACAGAUAGAUCUCAUUCAUAUGUGAAAUUUAGAGAGAGCAUCCAACACCUCCGAAAAUAUUAUCAAAAUGCAGCAGAAACCUUCAUAAGAACAUAACUGAACCAGGGAGGUAGCGUUCUCAGUGAGUUGCUGCCUUCUGGGUUAUAAGAACAAAGAUUCAUACAAUCAGAAUAAGGAUUAUCAUACCAAUGCACAUACAGACAAAGGGACCCUCACUUACAGAUAGAGGAAAUUUGCAUUCAUCUUGAAUGUAACAAACCAUUUCAUUUAGCCUUGGCAAGGAAAGAAACCAAAAGUUCAUAGUACUACUCUUCAGAUGAUCUGUAUUCCUAAAAAAAAAAUCCUAAUUAAGCAUUAAUGGAGGCAGAUAGAGGGAGAAAACUAAUCAAGGUUCCAGAAAGUUUCCUAGUAUUAGACUAAUAGCUGCACAGCGUUACUACCUGUAGCCUUCAAGAACUCCCCCUUACAAACCGCAUCCCCUACUACAUAUGUCAUUCCAUAUUUGUUAUUCCAAUUCAUUUUUGCAGCUUGUUCAGUGUCAUUCUAGUUGCCAAAGUAUUUCCAACCACCACUGGCUUCCUGAACCAAGAUCGAGUUCACAACAAAAGAAACAAGCAACAACAAGAACCACAAGAUAUCAACAACAAUGCUAGUAAAUUGAAAUAGGCCACAUACGGCUUCACUAGACUUCAAGAUGAACAACAAUAAGAAGAUAUCAACAAUAGUGAAUCAAAAGAGCCCCACACGACUUCACUAUGUCACAGUUUAGAACAUUGAACUAAAUCGAACAAAUCAGAAAUUAAAGCUAAUAUUACCCGUCUUUGUCGGUGGGUAGCGAAACUCAUUGAACCUCCCGUGUACAAUGAGCCGCCCGUUUGAGACGCUCUAUUUUUCUUUGCCCAUUCUCUCCUCGCCCUAUAUUCAGGAGCAUCCCAUAUUACAGCUACAGAAUAAUCAAUCAAUGUCUCCUCAAUCACAAAACAUAGUACAUGAAGCCCAUUCAAGAAUAAUCAAUCAAUGAUCCCUUCAUCAUGAAUACUCCAUACCCAUUCAAGCAUAUUUAUUAAAGGACAUAAAUCGAACAUAUAGCGAGCAUAUAAAAGUAAGGUAGAAAACUAUAACAGAUAUUUACAGAACUAAAACCUACAAUAAUAGUAAGGUAGAAAAUGAAGAAACAAAAAAAACUGAAAGAAUCUUAUGCUUUAUCAAUCGUCAAACAAUAGAUAUUGCUUAGUUAGAUCCAGAAACUAGUAAACCAACAGCUUAUUGUGCAAAUUCCAGAAACUAGAAAAUCAGUGCGCGAAAUACCAGAAACCCAAAAACAGAAAUUCAGUAUGCGAAUUUCAUAUCAACUUUUUUUAUCGAAAAUUAGACAGAAAUUGAAAAUGGAUAAGAAGACUUCUAAGAAUGACGACGAGGCUUCGCGAAAAGGCUUCGAGACAGAAAUUCACACCUCGAGGCAUCUUCCAACUUAGAAAUAUUGCAGUCACCGGCGCCGUUAAGAAUCCACCAAGGCCGUCGUCAUCGCCGUUACCACUCGACCAACGCCUUCAUCGUUGUGGCUGUGGUUGCCCUAGCUUAGAGAGAGAGGAGGGUUAGAGAGUGAGAGAG
rnacentral:lncRNA from 1 species